rfam:Salmo salar isolate Sally breed double haploid chromosome ssa17, whole genome shotgun sequence.
UACAUGCAUGACUCUAAGUCGCUUUGGAUAAAAGCAUCUGCUUAAAUGUCAUAUA